rnacentral:lncRNA from 1 species
AUGGCGAGUGUGAUCUUGACCAGUGGCUUUAAAGGAAAAACAAGUGAGCAAACCACACCUCUUAGUCUAUGGUCCUUAAGCACAUUGGAGGUAGCGAGACAGGAUACAGCUUCUAAGCAGGGGCGAGGAGGCAGACCUAAAUCUCCAAACAACCCCCCAAAAGAAAGCACACUAUCACUGGCGAUUCAGAAUGCAAAAAUGCCAACAUCCCUUCUUGCCACAAAGAGUUGGGAUUUCAGGUUUGGUUCCACUAAAAGGUCUUUGGCUGAACUAGCUUGGGACCAGGGUGAUGCGUGGCAAGCUCUGCCUCUGAAGGUUAAUUCCUAAUCAUCCAGACAAGAUACCAGUGACCUCACAACAGCAUGGCCCUCUUUAGUAAUGGAGCCACUUGGAAUCAACCAAAGCCAGCCCUUCCUCAACGUACCCUGUUGGGUCAUCAACCAAAGGGAUCUCCUGUUAGUAAGCUCAGCCAUUCUUUAGGAAGAAGUCCUCAAGACAGAGAUAGAGGGUGAGGGUCAGGGCAGCUCUGACCAACUAACCCGAGGAUUCACCCUUUCUCAAGACCAUAUUUCUUUAGAACCGAAAAGACUAAGUUCUAAUGGUCACUUGCCAAGAAUCCUUCCUGUGUUACUGGAGGGACACUCAGCAUCAGGACCAGCAAACAGUGCAGUAAAUGAGCCCAAAGGUUAAAUGCACAUUUGCUGGAUGGCUUGUGGGAUGAUCUAUAUUUUCUUAAGUUUUCUGAGGGCAAAGGGAGAGAGCAAAUGAAGUUUGGAUAAGUGGCCUGGCACCAGAGAAAUGUGCUCUGUCUCCUCUAUGGAAGUUGGUCCAGCCUCCAUGGAUUUUUUGAUUCUGGGGCCUGACCAGAGGGGAAGUAGCUAAGUGGAAAUGAUUAGGAAAAUCUGAUACUGGAAAUGUAAUCUGGGCACACUAGUGAAUGAGCAUGCCAAAGGACCUACCCCAGAAUAGAUUUGCUUAGGGGAGAGGGUUCCCUAGUUUCCUUCCUAGGUGUUGGGUUCCUCCAUUAGAAAAGAUGCAACAUUACUUACACUGCUGCCCAGAGGGUAGGAGAGAUGCAAAGUGUGGUUCUAGGAUUCCACUCAAGUGGGAAAUUUCUGGAUACUUAAUGAUCCCAUCUUAUAAGGCUGGGCCUCUGAUACCUUUAUCUACCAUUACCUUCUUUCCCCAAGCCAUAACAGCAAAGGGCUUGAGGUCAGUGAGAAUACUGCCCUGAAACUAGCCAUGGAGUUCAUCCCAAAUCAUGGCCUGAGCUCUCUAUCUUUCCUUGAGGCAAAAGCUAGGCAGGCACUAAUCCAUCCAAACUGAAACCACAGCCUCACCAACUUUGCUCCUUAGAGAUCAGCAUUGAGGAGACUGUUAGGUUUUCAUCUACACCAAGAAGACCGGCUCAGCAAAAUGGCGGUCACCUCCUUAUCUCUACCUGCCUAGUGAUCCUCUUAAUCCAAGGCACCCAAAUCCAUCCUUCAAACCCUGCAGUCUAGAGGGAAACACACCUAUUCCCAAAGUAAAUGGGCUUCAGGACACCAAGGAGUUCCAAAGGACUCAGCUACAGGGGAGUAAGCAAGAGGACAAGGAAUCAAGGGUCACCAGGGAAGAGGAUACAUGGAAGGAUGAAGAAGGAGAGGUGGUGGGAGAGAUUUGCAAUCUGAUACUGGUACAGUUAACAGGCUCAAUGCUUGGGAGAAGAAUGGAGGUCAAAACUGAGAAAACUCUGUGGAACAAGCCUGUAGCCCUGCAUUUCCCUAAAGAGUGAUUUUAAUUUUAAAGAAGUCCUAGCUCUUGGGAUACCAAUGGAACCUUUACGCCUCUAUGAAUGCAAUCAAUGGUCAAACAAGUAGAGGCCUGUACUGCAAAGGGAUAGUGUGUGAGUGAGUGUGUGUUAAGAUGUUACUAUCUUGUUUAUCCCACCCAAUUUGCUUUCUGGACUCAAGUUUCAUCUAUCAGAAUUUCCUUUGGACAAUGACCCUGUUGGCAGUGACUUGAUUUAAUCUUCCCUUUCUAUUACAAAAAGAACAGCUGUUUUGUGACUCUGGGAAAUAACAAUAAAACAAAACAAAACAAACA